ACGGAGGGGGCUAGCGUUGUUCGGAAUUACUGGGCGUAAAGCGCACGUAGGCGGCUUUGCAAGUUAGAGGUGAAAGCCCGGGGCUCAACCCCGGAACUGCCUUUGAAACUAGAUAGCUUGAAUCACGGAGAGGUGGGUGGAAUUCCGAGUGUAGAGGUGAAAUUCGUAGAUAUUCGGAAGAACACCAGUGGCGAAGGCGGCCCACUGGACGUGUAUUGACGCUAAGGUGCGAAAGCGUGGGGAGCAAACAGGA
rnacentral:rRNA from 1 species